CGCCCUCGCAAGAUCGCCAUUCGGCCUGUAAUCCAAUUUCAGCUCCACCGCCAGCCUCAAUUCCUUCAACGAUGUAAAUGCAUUUAGCUGCUGCUCUGCGUAUAUAGGCAAGGUCACAAUAGACACCCCUUACCNNNNNNNAGAUGGAGUUCCGCCCACAAUGAGAUACGAACCCUCCUGUAGGCUAGAACUUCCACCUGCGGUGCCCACCUACAUAUCAUUCCUCUCCCUUCUAUCCGUUCCAAGAAUCCUUGUGGCAACAUCUCCUUUGGAUUCUUGAAUUUAGGGUCUUCAUUCUGUAUUGGAAGAGCU
rnacentral:misc_RNA from 1 species